rnacentral:rRNA from 1 species
GUCGAACGAUGAUCCGGUGCUUGCACCGGGGAUUAGUGGCGAACGGGUGAGUAACACGUGAGUAACCUGCCCUUGACUCUGGGAUAAGCCUGGGAAACCGGGUCUAAUACCGGAUACGACCUGUCACCGCAUGGUGGUGGGUGGAAAGAUUUAUUGGUUUUGGAUGGACUCGCGGCCUAUCAGCUUGUUGGUGAGGUAAUGGCUCACCAAGGCGACGACGGGUAGCCGGCCUGAGAGGGUGACCGGCCACACUGGGACUGAGACACGGCCCAGACUCCUACGGGAGGCAGCAGUGGGGAAUAUUGCACAAUGGGCGAAAGCCUGAUGCAGCGACGCCGCGUGAGGGAUGACGGCCUUCGGGUUGUAAACCUCUUUCAGCAGGGAAGAAGCGAAAGUGACGGUACCUGCAGAAGAAGCGCCGGCUAACUACGUGCCAGCAGCCGCGGUAAUACGUAGGGCGCAAGCGUUGUCCGGAAUUAUUGGGCGUAAAGAGCUCGUAGGCGGUUUGUCGCGUCUGCUGUGAAAGCCCGGGGCUCAACCCCGGGUCUGCAGUGGGUACGGGCAGACUAGAGUGCAGUAGGGGAGACUGGAAUUCCUGGUGUAGCGGUGAAAUGCGCAGAUAUCAGGAGGAACACCGAUGGCGAAGGCAGGUCUCUGGGCUGUAACUGACGCUGAGGAGCGAAAGCAUGGGGAGCGAACAGGAUUAGAUACCCUGGUAGUCCAUGCCGUAAACGUUGGGCACUAGGUGUGGGGGACAUUCCACGUUUUCCGCGCCGUAGCUAACGCAUUAAGUG